rnacentral:piRNA from 1 species
UGGGUAUAGGCAGUCGAUGGCUCCCGUA